rnacentral:rRNA from 1 species
UACGUAGGCAGCGAGCGUUGUUCGGAAUUACUGGGCGUAAAGAGUGUGUAGGCGGUGCUCUAAGUUCGGUGUGAAAUCUCCCGGCUUAACUGGGAGGGUGCGCCGGAAACUGGAGUGCUCGAGCGUGGGAGAGGAAAGCGGAAUUCCUGGUGUAGCGGUGAAAUGCGUAGAUAUCAGGAGGAACACCUGCGGUGUAGACGGCUUUCUGGACCAUUGCUGACGCUGAGACAUGAAAGCGUGGGUAGCAAACAGG